rnacentral:rRNA from 1 species
AUUGAACGCUGGCGGCAGGCCUAACACAUGCAAGUCGAACGAGUGGCGGACGGGUGAGUAAGGUCUGGGAAACUGCCUGAUGGAGGGGGAUAACUACUGGAAACGGUAGCUAAUACCGCAUACGAUCAGAUGUGCCCAGAUGGGAUUAGCUUGUUGGGGGGGUAACGGCUCACCAAGGCGACGCUCCCUAGCUGGUCUGAGAGGAUUACCCGCCACACUGGAACGGAGACACGGGCCAGACUCCUACGGGAGGCAGCAGUGGGGAAGAUUGCACAAUGGGCGCAAGCCGGAUGCAGCCAUGCCGCGUGUAUGAAGAAGGCCUUCGGUUUGUAAAGUUCUUGCAGCGGGGAGGCGGUACCCGCAGAAGAAGCACCGGCUAACUCCGUGCCAGCAGCCGCGGUAAUAC